GCCAUGGUCGAAAUGUUUCAGCAUUCUGAAACCAAAUAUAGAGUUAAGUAUGCAAACUAUAUUGGCGAUGGUGAUUCCAAGACCUACCCAGAGGUUAUAAAAGCAGAUCCUUACAAAAAUACAACCGUAAAUAAAAACGAAUGUAUAGGGCAUGUCCAAAAGCGGAUGGGGACUCGAUUACGUGCACUGAAAACUAAACAAAAAGGCCUUGGUGGUCAAGGUAAGCUUACAGGAAAAGUAAUAAACAAAUUAACCGUGUACUAUGGUUUAUCAAUACGCCAGCAUUGUGAUUAUAUUGAAUAUAUGAAAUCUGCUAUAAUGGCAACUUUUUAUCACUACGGCUCGAGCGAUGAAAAGCUGAAUCAUGAUAUGUGUCCAAAAAGGCGAAGAUUCUUCGUGCUCCUACCAGCGCGCUGAAGCAAAGGGAAAGCUUGCUAGUUAUACUCAAGAUUAUUCUACCUUACCGCCUGAUGUUUUAAAAGCUAUCAAACCUACUUACGAAGAUUUCCGUAAUGAAAAUUUACUUUCGAGAUGUGUAGUUCAAAUCAAACAAAUAAUGAAAGCUUUAAUCAACUAUUACUGAAAAUAUGUCCAAAAACGGUAUAAAUUCAUUAUUGGUUGUAAUGAAAACACUGGAACUUAAGUUGGGGGCCUAAUUCUCAUCGGUAUGCUGAAAAACUGGAUGCUCAACGUAUGAAAAUGGCAGAUAAGCGUGCUAACGAUAACACUCGAGAAGGUAGAAUGCUAUGUAGGCAAUUGCAAAUCGAUAUUUUAAAGGCUGUUAUGACGGUUGAAGAACUAUUAUAUGACCCAGGAAUAGAGGGCACAGUACGUAAACCCUGUAAUUUCGUCAUAUCCAGUACCAUAUAUUAAAAUCUAGGCCCAAUACCGUGCCAAAAGGAAGUGAUGGAGUGCAAAACGACGGAGCAAGAAAGGCUAAAGCGAGCCAAAAGAAGAAUGAACGAGCACCAAAACCAAAAUCGGAGGCUGUGUUGGUAAAGCCGGUAGGAGGCCACAGUUAUGCUGAAAUCCUCAAAAGCAUCCGAGAAAAGACCAUGCCAGACGAAACCACAACGGUGAAAGGCAUAAGAAGAACCAAAACAGGCGCUCUUUUACUUGAGUUAGAAAAGGGGAAGACGGUUAACGCUGAUUUUUUGAAAGAACUAGAGGAAACUGUAAAAGCGGUCGGUUCCAUUACAACCCUCAGACCAACUUCAACUGUAGAGAUCAGAGACUUGGAUGCCGUCACGGAGAAGAAAGAAGUUGAUGACGCUGUGAGAAAAAUGCUAGCUGGCACUAAUGAAAAUAUCGAUGUUAGGAUCACAAAACCUAAUCAACGACAACAAAUACGGGCUUAUGUUACUCUCGCUAUUGAAAGCGCAGAAAAACUGCUCAAGCAAACGAAUAUCAAAAUCGGAUGGGUUAGUGCAAGGAUGAGAGCUAGCAUAUCUCUGAAGCGCUGCCACCGGUGCUUCGGUGUCGGACACCUUCAAUCAAACUGUAAAGGACCAGACAG